rnacentral:rRNA from 1 species
UACAGAGGUCCCGAGCGUUGUUCGGAUUCAUUGGGCGUAAAGGGUGCGUAGGCGGUCUUCUAAGUUUGAUGUGAAAUUCCGGGGCUCAACCCUGGCAUGGCAUUGAAUACUGGAGGACUAGAGUACCGGAGAGGAAACUGGAAUUUACGGUGUAGCAGUGAAAUGCGUAGAGAUCGUAAGGAAGACCAGUGGCGAAGGCGGCGCGCUGGACCACUACUGACGCUGAGGAACGAAAGCUAGGGGAGCAAACAGG